rnacentral:rRNA from 2 species
GAGAGUUCAAGAGGGCGUGAAACCGCUUGGAAGCAAACAGAUGGACCUGACGGAGAGUUGCUGGGAUUCAGCCCACUGUGUCACCUCACCCUUCUGCUUGAUUGUUUCCACAGGUUUGGAGGUGUUGGUGUGGCCAGCGGGUGCAUUUCCUGGUGAUGCGCAUCAGAGCCUGUGUCGGUGCUGGAGCUAUGGUGGUGUGUGCCGGCCGACCUUGUUGGUGUCCCAAUGCUGCCUGAAACCGGGUCACUGGCACAGGGCUAUGCACAGGUGCCCGCCUCUACUCUGGUAGGCUUGUUUGUUCCUGGAGUUAAACGGCAGUCUCAUGCUUGCAUGAUUCAGCGACCUCUCCGGUGAGUGGCCGGCUUAUGCAGAGUUGGUGCCUUUCUCUGGUGUUUUAGUCAGUCACCCAUCUGACCCGUCUUGAAACACGGACCAAGGAGUCUAACAUGUGCGCGAGUCACUGGGUUGUAAAACCCAAAGGCGCAAUGAAAGUAAAGCCUAGUUCGGCUGGGCGACAUGGGACCCUCGGCUUCGGCUGGGGAGCACCAUGGUCCCGUCUAUACUGCAUUGUCAGUAGGGCGGAGAUAGAGCGUACACGUUGGGACCCGAAAGAUGGU